GCCCCGGGCGGCAUCGCUGCCUCAAGGCCCUCCGGCGCCAUCGCCCCUUCAUUCCCCUCACGGCGCAGCCCGCCGGCACCGACACAUUUCAGGGGUUUUUCUCCUCAUAGCGUGAAGAUUUGUGGCCCAGAAUUGCUCUUUCCACACGUCCCCCCUCGUCAUCACCACACGCACCCCAAGGUGGGUAGUUUUAUGCUUAAUUCUUUCUCUUCCACUGCUUUUCUCCUUUGCAGGGGUUGAAGCCGCUGCCUCCCGCUCUCCUCACAGCAUGGAAAAUACCCAAACGCGCUGGAAAAAAAAAAAAAAAAAAGCCAAACCAAAACCCCAAAGCACCCGAGGAUUGAUUUAUCUUAAGAGCCGGAGUGGCGCGGAAAAGAAGCCGUCGCCGGUCGCCUUGUUCUCCACGACAACCUGCCCGCCAUUGGGUUAAUUAAAAGCAUGUACUUGGUGUGAUCAGACCGUAAAAAAAAAAAAAAAAAAAAAAAAAAUUUCCUGUAACAUCUAAACGCUCGUUGUUGGAGGCUGCAGCCAAGGGAAAUAGAGGAUUGUUUCUGUAACCCCUCUCCGCAGCAGAUACUUUCUUUGUAAGUAUUGUGUACAUGCAGGGAUCUCAGAGCCAUCUGGGCAGUGGGAUCUGGCCUUGCCGAGGAGCCUAAGGCACAGUUGCUCUGGUUGUGUAAGCAUGUGUUGUACACAGGCCACAGAAACCCACGAUGUUUCUGUGGUUCCUCCUGUCUGGAUAGCCUGAGCAGGUCCCAGGACUUCCCCUUCCCACCGCUUACUGUUUCACAAAAGCAAAGGCUGGUGCUUCUGGAAAAAGCUCUGCCUUGUGGCCUUUAAAAAAAAAAAUAUAAAGAAAAACUGCUGUGGAUUAGUCAUCCUUAUUUUUAAAGGAAGCUGUGUUUGCCAGUCCUAUCUGUAUAACGCAUGUGCGUGUGAGAUAUUAACUAUUUGCUUUAUUUGCGAAGGCUGGUAAUGUGCUCUGGUCUCUGUGUUUUGGAGCAGUGCCACCGAGACUCCCGUGGAGCUGCUGCUGGCAGGUGGAAAAAAACUGACGGUCCAGCCAUUUUCCUUUUUCAAUGCUGGUAUCUCUGCAGCGGCAGGUGUGCAAAUCUAACAACAGCAAGCAAGGACAGAUGAGCUGUCUUCUGGGGUCACUUCUAACUCCAGUGAAGAAACCCUGGUGAUUGAUUUUUUUUUUUUUUUCUUGCCUGUGGUAGCUUUUACUCUAAGCUCCACUGUAUCUUGCAAGAAGUCUGAGUUUGACCCUUUUGGAUGCUAAAAAUGGUACUGGUUUUAAACGUUAGUGGUUUUUUCCCCUUCCCUGUGAUCAUGUAGAAGAGCAAGGGGAGCAAUUAAAACAGUGUAGCAAAGGACAGCUCCCUCCCCCUUUCCCCUUUCAGAAAAACCCCCAAACCUUCCAGAGUUGUGUGCUCUUGAACUGCUGCAUAGGCAGAAAACAUACAAUGCAGUUGUCAGCAUUGUGCUGAUGUGUGGCACGUUUUAAAAAAAAAAAUACACACAAAAGGGGUGGGGAGAACGGUUGCCUCCAGGGAGUAAAACUGUGGGGCCCCUUUCCCUCCAAGCAAACAGCCUGACGCGUGAUAGCGUAUUAUUCCUGAUUUUGCUCAGGCAAAGGCAACAGGCUAACGUUGGAGGUAGCGUUGCAACGUCCUAAACUGUGUUAGGGAAGAUCAGGGUCCCCUUGAACUAUUUUUUUUUUUUUUUUUCUGUGAACUUGCUCCUGUGCGAUGCUGCUGUUUUAUUACCUGAGUCUUCAAAGUCGUGCUUGCUCACCAGGAAGAAGGAAGACGCUUCCUUAUUGGGUGCAAUUUCUUUUGUUGUGUUGCAGAAGGGAUGUAUUGGUUUGGAGAUACGCCUUGUGCUUGUCAGAGGCCUUCGCUGGCACGGAGGAAGAGAGGACCAAGAAGCUGGCUGUUGGGAGUGUUUCCACGGUUUUCAGGUUGGCACGCCCUGUGGGACUCGGAAUUACUUUUCUUUGGCAGUUUAGGACAAACGAGUGAGAAUUACCUUGUGAGCGCUGAACUUUUACCACCCUCUGCUUUGGACUGAAGAGUUACUACAUCCACGAGGUUUCCAAGCUAAACAAAACCUGAAUUUCCGGUGCCAAAAAGCAAGCGUGUGCGAUAAAAACCUCCACUCCUCCUCCAUGAGGGGGGAAACCGCAGUCUUUCAAGCUUUCCUAUUAUCCCAAGGAGUUAAAAAGCUGCAUUGUGACAUCUCCAGAGGUAAAAUGAAAGCCAAAGCUCGCUGAGAAACUGUUCUCCUAUGCUCCAGAGGUGUGUUUGAGCAUGCAGCAGGCCUUGAUGCAUGAGUAUUUUUCUUUUGCGCUUUUCUCUGAAGUGAAAGAGCAAUAACCCUGCAAAUGCGCUCCGUUUAAAACAUGGUCAGGUUGCUUCGGUAUCAAAAUGGUGUUUGGCGAAACCAAAGCUCUGAUGGUGGCUGUCUUGGUAUUAAUUUUGUGCUGGGUGUGCUGGUCAAUCUGAUGGGGAAUGUGGGGAAGAGCAGCCUUUAGCUCACAGGUUUGGACUGUGGGGUUUGUGUUAAACCCUUGUCCCACAGCAUCUCCAGCGUAAUUGCUGUGAUUUUUCCUGGGUGUUGCACGUAGGGCCUUUAUGAAGAGGCCAUGCAGCAGCUGGGUGUUAAAAAUAUUAAAAAUGGCAAAGUACAGGUGGAUUGAUAUCCUUUGCAGUUGUUUUCUUCAGGUAUCACAUCACAUGGGGCUGCCUUUUUUUUUGUUUUGUUCUCUUUGGGUUUUUUUCCCUAAAAUGUAAUAUUUUGCAGCCUGGAAGACCAACGUCCUCUCUGUCUAGCUGGUGACAUGCCCCGUGUUUGGGAAAAACCCUUGCGAGGCCCAGCGACACGUGGCAGCGAGCUCCACCACUUGGGAAUGGUAGCGAGCAGAAAUGUGUGUCCGUGUCUCACCCCUGGAUGCUCAUCGUGUUGUCACCAGUGGGCUGGCGUGAACGCUUGUCCCCUCUGCGGUGGCAAGGACGGCAUUGGUUGCUGCCGUGUGAGACCAGUCCUUCGUCAAGGCCAGCCGAGAGAACUGUUGUGCUCGCUCCGGUCUCCAGCCUGGGUCUGCGUUCUUUAAAAUCUUCAAACAAGUUGGAGGGAUCUGGUUACAGCGGCAUCGCCAGUGUGGUCGCCUGUUGCAAAUGGGAACGGUUUCCCCCUAAAGCAUUUGAAAAGCAUCGGGAUGGUCCAACGCUUCAUUUUGCGUCAUCGGCCGGGCUUUGUGCUCCUCUUCCAGCUGGCUUUCGUGUAAACGGAGCCCUCGUUUCCACUGUCUCUUCUGUCAACAGUCUCAAUGGCUUUGUUUGCAACCCGUGGAUGUCCCUCCCGUCCCAGCCGGCCUGCGUGACAGCGGUGACCCUGCCUGAGGUUGCUUGGAAGGACCUGGGAGCCGGUGUGGUUUUGUCGUGCCCCUUGGAGGUGCCGCCCUCGGGGAAGACCACUUGGAAACGCUGUCAGCAGCGAGCACGCUUGAUUGGAGAGGGGAGAAUUGGGCAUCGAAACACUGUUUGGUGCGUGAUUUGGGUUUCUUCCUCUCCGGAAUGGAUGCUUGUAGAGGCUGUUAGAUGUAGCGAGUGCUCUUCGGGCUUCUCACCCGCUAAACCAGAAAGCAAACCCCAUUUCCACGGAGGAAAAAAUGCGCGCUGGGAAGUGCUGGUGGAACGCGUUGGCAGCGCAUUUUCUCGUGUGCACGUGGCUCCAUCGCACAUUUUAAAUAAUAGAUGGUUUGCGUGCAAAGAGUUGGGGUUCUUCUAAUUAUUAUUAU